UACGUAGGGGGCUAGCGUUGUCCGGAUUUAUUGGGCGUAAAGAGCGUGUAGGCGGCCAGAUAGGUCUGCUGUGAAAACUCGAGGCUCAACCUCGAGAUGUCGGCGGAAACCAUUUGGCUAGAGUCCGGAAGAGGAAAGUGGAAUUCCUGGUGUAGCGGUGAAAUGCGCAGAUAUCAGGAAGAACACCCGUGGCGAAGGCGACUUCCUGGCCUGUUCUUGACGCUGAGGCGCGAAAGCUAGGGGAGCAAACGGG
rnacentral:rRNA from 1 species